GUUGGUGAGGUAAAAGCCCACCAAGGCGACGAUCUGUAGCUGGUUUGAGAGGACGACCAGCCACACUGGGACUGAGACACGGCCCAGACUCCUACGGGAGGCAGCAGUGGGGAAUUUUGGACAAUGGGCGCAAGCCUGAUCCAGCCAUGCCGCGUGCGGGAAGAAGGCCUUCGGGUUGUAAACCGCUUUUGUCAGGGAAGAAACGCUCCGGGCUAAUACCUCGGAGUAAUGACGGUACCUGAAGAAUAAGCACCGGCUAACUACGUGCCAGCAGCCGCGGUAAUACGUAGGGUGCAAGCGUUAAUCGGAAUUACUGGGCGUAAAGCGUGCGCAGGCGGCUUUGCAAGACAGAUGUGAAAUCCCCGGGCUUAACCUGGGAACUGCAUUUGUGACUGCAUGGCUGGAGUGCGGCAGAGGGGGAUGGAAUUCCGCGUGUAGCAGUGAAAUG
rnacentral:rRNA from 1 species